rnacentral:rRNA from 1 species
AAACCGCGAGGUUAAGCUAAUCUCUUAAAGUCGUUCUCAGUUCGGAUUGCAGGCUGCAACUCGCCUGCAUGAAGUCGGAAUCGCUAGUAAUCGCGGAUCAGCAUGCUGCGGUGAAUACGUUCCCGGGCCUUGUACACACCGCCCGUCACACCAUGAGAGUUUGUAACACCCAAAGCCGGUGGAGUAACCAUUUGGAGCUAGCCGUCUAAGGUGGGACAGAUGAUUGGGGUGAAGUCGUAACAAGGUAGCCGUAGGAGAACCUGCGGCUGGAUCACCUCCUUUCUAAGGAA